CUUGGGUUACUUCCUGGGGGAUGCUGAGUACUUGGAGAGACUUUUCUCCAGUUGGACAGGAGAGGCUGCAUGGUGAAAACAGCCCUACUUUUCCAGAGUUAGCAGGUAGAACAACGUUCUUCAACCACAUCCAGGAACAACCAUAGUAUAUCUUACGUUGGAAAGGGCCCUCAAGGGUGAUCGAGUCCCGCUCCUGGCUUAGAGAACACUGAAGUGCCUAAGGCACGGAUUUCCUCCUCCAGCUACCUGGUUCUUAACAGCUUUAGUAGAGGAAAGCAGAAGAGCAACACACCUGAGCAACACUUUGAGCUGAAGUGCCUACACAGACUGCAGAAGGCAAGUCGCUGCUGUGCAUCUCUGACUGUGCUGUAUUUUAGGAGACGGAAUGGCUAAAAAAAUAGAAAUAAAAAACAAAGCAAAAGCCCCAAGCCCCAGCCUCCCCCAGCCUGGAUUUUACUACACUGCACUAUAAAGAUACCUUUUCUGAUUUAGAGGUUUCUGUGUUUAAGACUGUGGUAGCUAAUAAAUCCCUGACAUCUGAACUGUUGGGAAGCAGCGUGCACAAUGAAACAAUAUUGUGGUUGCAGAGUGAUCAUAAUAUAUAUUUCUAAGGUUAGUUGUUCCACGUGUGUAUUUAAAGUUCUUUUGUUCUUUGCUUCUCCCUGCAAAUCUAAACAGUGCUCAGAUGAAAGCUGUGGAGUAGGAGGCUGACUUAAUGGUGCCUACUUGGCUCUGUAGCAGGGCUAUAAGAGGGUAAUAAAAUCCUUGUAGGAUUUGAUGAAAUCAGAUAGAAUGAAUGUAGCAUUAAACAAAACAAAGGACCCAUAGAUAAGCUGAAUUCUUGUUUCACUUCAAUUAUUUCCCUUUUAAUCCAGUGAGAAGAAGAAAAAAGAUGACAACUCUGCCUUUCUGUUGUUUGAGCACUGGGAUAAAGGUAGGGUCAGUGCCCAAGCCAACUGGAAGAUGAGAUUCUUUCUCAUGUUUUCACUCCAAGCUGAAUUGAAGCCUAUUUUCUGUUAGCUAGUGGGAAUCCUUUGUUGGCUUGAAUUAACAGCACUGCAAUCAGAGAGCAGAGAACUGCACAGUGUCCAUCUUGUAUGAAAGCUUGCAAGAAUUUGUUGUAGAUCUGGCUGAGAAAUCUGUCUGUGAUGUCCAACAGCCUUCAGCAUCCAGAAGAGCUCUCUUACAUGACAGCGCAGCAAGCUUCUUAAAA